AUUGAACGCUAGCGGCAUGCCUUACACAUGCAAGUCGAACGGUAACAGGUCUUCGGAUGCUGACGAGUGGCGAACGGGUGAGUAAUACAUCGGAACGUGCCUAGUAGUGGGGGAUAACUACUCGAAAGAGUGGCUCAUCCCGCAUGAGAUCUACGGAUGAAAGCAGGGGAUCGCAAGACCUUGUGCUACCAGAGCGGCCGAUGGCAGAUUAGGUAGUUGGUGGGAUAAAAGCUUACCAAGCCGACGAUCUGUAGCUGGUCUGAGAGGACGAUCAGCCACACUGGGACUGAGAAACGGCCCAGACUCCUACGGGAGGCAGCAGUGGGGAAUUUUGGACAAUGGGCGCAAGCCUGAUCCAGCAAUGCCGCGUGCAGGAUGAAGGCCUUCGGGUUGUAAACUGCUUUUGUACGGAACGAAAAGCCCCGGGUUAAUACCCUGGGGUCAUGACGGUACCGUAAGAAUAAGCACCGGCUAACUACGUGCCAGCCGCCGCGGUAA
rnacentral:rRNA from 1 species